rnacentral:lncRNA from 1 species
CCCAGCUAUAGCAUAGUGUGUGCUUUAUUGCUAACCUAGGCGAUGGGAAGAAAGAGAACACAGCUAUCUUUCCAAGCUGUGUGCAGCAUGGAGCACCAGCUGCCCUUGAGACAGAAGAAAGCUGUUGUUUUCAUCAGGUAGGCUGUGUGUUUCUCUGUUAAGUAGGCUGAGGGGCAUCUGGUCUGCAGGAGCUGGCAUUUAAUUUGAAGAUGUUGAGGCCUUAAAAGAUUGAACUUGUGGGUCUGAUAGCCUAAUUAGAACAAGCUAUGUGUGGGGGCUGCCGUACUCAAAUCUGUUUUUAAUGGCUCAGUUCAGGGCUGAGGGGGAGCAAUGUCAAAAUUAAAAUUAGAGCUCUAGAUUUAAUUGGCAGAAGUUUAAGACUUUCACUUUUGGCAGUGCUCAAGCUAAAUGACCUUAAGGAUAGAGAUCUUGGGGUCAUGGGGGAGCAUCACCCUAACCCCUAGGCUUACUAUACCGCAUCUCUUUAGGGUCUUUACAGUCACUCCUCAACUUUUUGGACUCAGGACCCCUUUAUACUCUUAAAACUUAUUUAGGAC